AACGGUAACGCGGGGCAACCUGGCGACGAGUGGCGAACGGGUGAGUAAUGUAUCGGAACGUGCCCAGUUGUGGGGGAUAACUGCUCGAAAGAGCAGCUAAUACCGCAUACGACCUGAGGGUGAAAGCGGGGGAUCGCAAGACCUCGCGCAAUUGGAGCGGCCGAUAUCAGAUUAGGUAGUUGGUGGGGUAAAGGCUCACCAAGCCAACGAUCUGUAGCUGGUCUGAGAGGACGACCAGCCACACUGGGACUGAGACACGGCCCAGACUCCUACGGGAGGCAGCAGUGGGGAAUUUUGGACAAUGGACGCAAGUCUGAUCCAGCCAUGCCGCGUGCGGGAAGAAGGCCUUCGGGUUGUAAACCGCUUUUGUCAGGGAAGAAACGCUCUGGGUUAAUACCUCGGGGUAAUGACGGUACCUGAAGAAUAAGCACCGGCUAACUACGUGCCAGCAGCCGCGGUAAUACGUAGGGUGCAAGCGUUAAUCGGAAUUACUGGGCGUAAAGCGUGCGCAGGCGGUUAUGCAAGACAGAGGUGAAAUCCCCGGGCUCAACCUGGGAACUGCCUUUGUGACUGCAUAGCUAGAGUACGGUAGAGGGGGAUGGAAUUCCGCGUGUAGCAGUGAAAUGCGUAGAUAUGCGGAGGAACACCGAUGGCGAAGGCAAUCCCCUGGACCUGUACUGACGCUCAUGCACGAAAGCGUGGGGAGCAAACAGGAUUAGA
rnacentral:rRNA from 1 species